rnacentral:rRNA from 1 species
GACGUAGGGCGCGAGCGUUGUCCGGAUUUAUUGGGCGUAAAGAGCUCGUAGGCGGCUUGUUGCGUCGGCUGUGAAAUCCCAUGGCUCAACUGUGGGCUUGCAGCCGAUACGGGCGGGCUAGAGUUCGGUAGGGGAGACUGGAAUUCCUGGUGUAGCGGUGAAAUGCGCAGAUAUCAGGAGGAACACCUGUGGCGAAGGCGGCCCCCUGGGCCGGCCCUGACACUGAGACGCGAAGGCGUGGGGAGCGAACGGG